CCCUCACCAUUAAGAUAUCUUACAGCCCCCAUCCCUCUUCUUCUUCACCGUCUCUUCCACCAUGACUCCUGCACAACCGCCGACCACCUGCACCACCAUCACAAGGAAAUCACACCAUCGUCGGAAAAUCUACACAAAAGGACGCAUAAGCAUUAGUGGUGUUUCAUUGUGUUUUGAAAACAAGACCAUUGAUCGGAGCCGAGUUCUCAGAUGUUCUUCUGGUUGCCCUUCUUCCUAAAUCUAUCACCUGCCCUGCACUCAUCCAUUCUUUUACAAUUUACGAGAAAAUGGUGGUUGAAUCGGUGAAGAACAUUACCUGACCUGUGCGGCCAUAGAAUGUAGUAAGAGACGAGAUUUGGUAAAUUAGUGAAUGAUAGGGUAGAAUAAUUGAGGUAGUUAGGUGUAGAUGAAUAAGAUUUUUGGAAUUAAUCGGUGGAUUAAAGUUCUAUAGCUUUUAAUCAUUUAUAUGCUUGUUCUUGUGUA